rnacentral:misc_RNA from 1 species
ACUUUGCCGGCAAGCAAAACAUCCAAAUCAGCAAACUCAGCGAUGCUAUCUUUACGCAGAUAUUCAUCGCCAAUAUUGCGCCCACCAAUGAUGGAUAACUGGCGGUCAAAGGUCAUGCUUUUAUUGUGCAUACGGCGUUGGUAGCGGGGCAGUGCUACCACAAAAUUGGCGGGGGUAAAGCCGCGUACCACUUUGGGGUUAAUCAAUCGCACUUG